rnacentral:rRNA from 1 species
GGUGGUCGAGUCGAGCGGCAGCACGGGGAGCUUGCUCCCUGGUGGCGAGCGGCGGACGGGUGAGUAAUGCAUAGGAAUCUGCCCGGUAGUGGGGGAUAACCUGGGGAAACCCAGGCUAAUACCGCAUACGCCCUACGGGGGAAAGCAGGGGCUCUUCGGACCUUGCGCUAUCGGAUGAGCCUAUGUCGGAUUAGCUGGUUGGUGAGGUAAUGGCUCACCAAGGCGACGAUCCGUAGCUGGUCUGAGAGGAUGAUCAGCCACAUCGGGACUGAGACACGGCCCGAACUCCUACGGGAGGCAGCAGUGGGGAAUAUUGGACAAUGGGCGCAAGCCUGAUCCAGCCAUGCCGCGUGUGUGAAGAAGGCCUUCGGGUUGUAAAGCACUUUCAGUGGGGAAGAAAGCCUGGCGGUUAAUACCCGCGAGGAAGGACAUCACCCACAGAAGAAGCACCGGCUAACUCCGUGCCAGCAGCCGCGGUAAUACGGAGGGUGCGAGCGUUAAUCGGAAUUACUGGGCGUAAAGCGCGCGUAGGUGGCUUGAUAAGCCGGUUGUGAAAGCCCCGGGCUCAACCUGGGAACGGCAUCCGGAACUGUCAGGCUAGAGUGCAGGAGAGGAAGGUAGAAUUCCCGGUGUAGCGGUGAAAUGCGUAGAGAUCGGGAGGAAUACCAGUGGCGAAGGCGGCCUUCUGGACUGACACUGACACUGAGGUGCGAAAGCGUGGGUAGCAAACAGGAUUAGAUACCCUGGUAGUCCACGCCGUAAACGAUGUCGACUAGCCGUUGGGUCCUUCGCGGACUUUGUGGCGCAGUUAACGCGAUAAGUCGACCGCCUGGGGAGUACGGCCGCAAGGUUAAAACUCAAAUGAAUUGACGGGGGCCCGCACAAGCGGUGGAGCAUGUGGUUUAAUUCGAUGCAACGCGAGAACCUUACCUACCCUUGACAUCCUCGGAAUCUGCCGGAGACGGCGGAGUGCCUUCGGAACCGAGUGACAGGUGCUGCAUGGCUGUCGUCAGCUCGUGUGUGAAAUGUUGGGUUAAGUCCCGUACGAGCGCACCCUGUCCUAUUUGCCAGCGAGUAAGUCGGACUCUAGGAGACUGCCGGUGACAAUCGAGAGGUGGGACGACGUCAGUCAUCAUGCCUUACGGUAGGCUACACACGUGCUACAAUGUUCGUACAAAG